rnacentral:rRNA from 1 species
CCUACGGGAGGUUGCAGUGGGGAAUAUUGGACAAUGGGCGAAAGCCUGAUCCAGCCAUGCCGCGUGUGUGAAGAAGGCCUUCGGGUUGUAAAGCACUUUCAGUGGGGAAGAAAGCCUUGGGGCUAAUACCCUCGAGGAAGGACAUCACCCACAGAAGAAGCACCGGCUAACUCCGUGCCAGCAGCCGCGGUAAUACGGAGGGUGCGAGCGUUAAUCGGAAUUACUGGGCGUAAAGCGCGCGUAGGCGGUCUGAUAAGCCGGUUGUGAAAGCCCCGGGCUCAACCUGGGAACGGCAUCCGGAACUGUCAGGCUAGAGUGCAGGAGAGGAAGGUAGAAUUCCCGGUGUAGCGGUGAAAUGCGUAGAGAUCGGGAGGAAUACCAGUGGCGAAGGCGGCCUUCUGGUCUGACACUGACGCUGAGGUGCGAAAGCGUGGGUAGCAAACAGGAUUAGAUACCCGAGUAGUC